rnacentral:rRNA from 1 species
GAACGCUAGCUACAGGCUUAACACAUGCAAGGUCGAGGGGCAGCAUGAAGUCAGCUUGCUGACUUUGAUGGCGACCGGCGCACGGUGAGUAACGCGUAUCCAACCUUCCCUUACUCAGGAAUAGCCCGUUGAAAGACGGAUUAAUGCCUGAUGUUCUCUAUUUCCGGCAUCGGUAAUAGAGCAAAGAUUCAUCGGUAAGGGAUGGGGAUGCGUAUGAUUAGCUUGUUGGCGGGGUAACGGCCCACCAAGGCGACGAUGCGUAGGGGUUCUGAGAGGAAGGUCCCCCACACUGGUACUGAGACACGGACCAGACUCCUACGGGAGGCAGCAGUGAGGAAUAUUGGUCAAUGGGCGAGAGCCUGAACCAGCCAAGUCGCGUGAGGGAUGACGGUCCUACGGAUUGUAAACCUCUUUUGUCGGGGAGCAAGAGCUCUACGUGUAGAGUAGUGAGAGUACCCGAAGAAAAAGCAUCGGCUAACUCCGUG